UACGUAGGUGGCAAGCGUUGUCCGGAUUUACUGGGCGUAAAGAGCGCGCAGGCGGUCGUUCAAGUCGCGUGUGAAAGCCCCCGGCUCAACUGGGGAGGGUCACGCGAUACUGAUCGACUCGAAGGCAGGAGAGGGUAGUGGAAUUCCCGGUGUAGUGGUGAAAUGCGUAGAGAUCGGGAGGAACAUCAGUGGCGAAGGCGGCCAUCUGGGACAACACUGACGCUGAAGCACGAAAGCGUGGGGAGCAAACAGG
rnacentral:rRNA from 1 species